ACCGUGCACCCUCUGGCUCUUCCCCAAAGUCAGAAUGACCAUGAAAGGUAAAUGUUUUGAAUCAUUCAGGACAUUGAGGCAGCCAUGACAGGACAACUAAAGACACACCUGAAAGAGGACUUCCAGAGCUACUUCAGAAAGUGGCAAGAACAAUGGGAUAAGUAUGUUUGAAACCUGGGGGAGUGUUUGAGGGUGGGUUAAUGGCAACGUUUCUUUUACUAUAAUAUAUUUUUAAUUUAAACAUUCACUGUAUUUUUCAGUUUCAUGGCACACCCAAAAGUGAAUUCCUGGAUCCUAUGGCAGCAGCAAUUUUACCUUUUCUAACCUUUCCAGGAGCCUCCAUUCUGAUUUCCAUAAUGGCUUCAGUAACCUACAUUCCCAGCAGGAGCCCACAAAGAUUCCUUUUCCUCCACACCUUCACCAAUACCUGGCAGCCCUUGCUCCCUUACUAACAGCCAUUUACCAGAGAAUGAACUAAGGCACCUCCCUAUUCAGAGGUUCUCCAGAAACAGUGAGGAGACUGCAGACCUCCGACAUCUACCUGCUGCUCAGGGGCAGUAUUUCAGCAGGAGCCUCCCAGCCAAAGUGCCAGGGUUGCUUUACAGAGCCAGACCCAACCUCAGCGGAAACCACAGGCCCGGGACACAGACACUGCCGAUUUAAGAAGUAAUUACAACAUUGAACACGGCCUUAAAUAAAAGCAAAAAUGCAGGAGACAGGAGGGAAAACAGAAGCAUACAUUGGGAACUAUGCCAUUUUCCCCAGAUGUUUUGUAAUAUUUGCAACCUGGCUGCAUCUGACAUGAGCUGAGCACCCACCCAGGAGGAGUGGGUGGCUCUGUCCUGGAAAGAGUGAGAAGAAAAAUAAAUAAAUAGAUUAAUUAAUUAAUUAAAAUUCAAAAAGCAGUGAGAAGAAAUGCCUCAAUAUCAGAGAUCAUCCAUCUGCCUGAAUGCCUUUUUGUUUAAUGCCCUUCUCCAGUGAGAACCCUCUUCUACUGGUCCUCAAGGAAUGAAUUAGUAUACUAUAUCAUGACAAGUAAUGAAAGCCCAACCCAAUAUAAACUGAUUAAACUAGAAAAUAGUUAUGUUUUGGGCUCAUGAAAGACCACCAGUAGUUCUGGCUUCAGGCACAGUUGUAUCCAGGUGCUUAACAUCACAGCAUGUAGAAUCUCUCUGCAUCUUACCUCUUGGCUUUGCCUUCCACAAAGUUGACUUCAUUUUCAGCCAGGCUCUCAGCACCUAGUAGCUAAGAUACAGUCCCAGAAACUGACAUCCCACUAGCUUAACAUUCCCACCAGAGAGAUGAUGAUGUUUGUUCCACCAUUCCAGCACAAAUCCUAGUCGGCCUUCCAUUGGUCCUUCUUGGGUCAGGUGUUGAUCUUUGAAUGGCUGUAGCCAGAGAAUUUCAGUUCUCUGAAAUUGGCCACGUCCAGGUCAGAGUUCCAGCUCUCGAGAACAGAGGGAGGAUCAGUGCCACCCAGUGGGAGGCUGACAGCUGGCAAGAGGUGAGUCCCAAAAAAGAAAAUCAAGGUUCUGACGAAAGC